UGGUCAGCAGCAAAUACUGUGAAUCGAGCACCAAAUAUUGGAAGUUCCAUGCACACUGGUGGUUCCAUAUUUAUGGGUGAACAUGCACGCAGAAUGGUAAGAUAAAAAUAGUUUAAUUUUAGUCUUGUUCUUAUUAUGUGCAAUGUUUUCUUAUUCUUUUUUCUUUCCUAUCGAUUAAAACUAUUAUAUUAUAGGAAAAAGCUACGGGAGUAAAACCUUCUCUAGAGGAGGUUUAUACUAAAUGCCACACCAAAAAGGAUAAAAGUUGGAUUGAUGAAAGAUCUGAGAAAGUCAUUGGUGAAUUUAAAAAGUGAAAGACAGAACUUUCUCAAGUAGCUUUAUCCUUGGAUAAUGAGGGAGAUGUUGAGGCAUCUAAGGAAAGCUUAGAUAUACCAGAUGAUUACACUAUUUGGAACGAAGUUGUGACAAAGGAAAAAAAGAAAGAUGCUUUUGGUUUAGGUUCUUUUGGUUUAGAUCUCUCUUCAAAGUUAGAUUCCAGAAAUUGCUCAGAGACAUCCAAAGACAAUCUAAAUAUUGAGCAAGAACUUCACAUGUGGAAAGAAAAGGCAAAGGAGAAAGAAAUGAUCAAUGAAGAGCAAAAGGUUAAGUUGAAUGAUGCUAAGCAUAAGUUAAAAGAAUAAGGACGUCAACUAAAAGCUCAA